AUUGAACGCUGGCGGCAGGCCUAACACAUGCAAGUCGAACGAGUGGCGGACGGGUGAGUAAUGGCUGGGAAACUGCCUGAUGGAGGGGGAUAACUACUGGAAACUGUCGCUAAUACCGCGUACCAUAGGAUGAGCCCAAGUGGGAUUAGGUAGUUGGUGGGGUAAUGGCAUACCAAGCUGACGAUCGCUAGCUGGUCUGAGAGGAAGACCGGCCAAACCGGGACUGAGAGACGGCCCAGACUCCGACGGGAGGCAGCAGUGGGGAAUAUUGCGCAAUGGGGGCAACCCUGACCCAGCCAUGCCGCGUGAAUGAAGAAGGCCUUCGGGUUGUAAAGUUCUUUCGGUAUUAAGGCGGUAAAUACAGAAGAAGCACCGGCUAACUCCGUGCCAGCAGCCGCGGUAAUUC
rnacentral:rRNA from 1 species